rnacentral:rRNA from 1 species
AUAAAAGUAGCAGUACUUGGUGGCGACCGGCGCACGGGUGAGUAACGCGUAUGCAACCUACCUAGUCAGAGGGGAAUAACCCGGCGAAAGUCGGACUAAUACCGCAGUAAAACAGGGACACCGCAUGGUGAUAUUUGUUAAAGAAAUUCGCUGAUAGAUGGGCAUGCGUUCCAUUAGGUAGUUGGUGAGGUAACGGCUCACCAAGCCGACGAUGGAUAGGGGAACUGAGAGGUUGGUCCCCCACACUGGUACUGAGACACGGACCAGACUCCUACGGGAGGCAGCAGUGAGGAAUAUUGGUCAAUGGGCGAGAGCCUGAACCAGCCAAGUCGCGUGAAGGAAGAAGGAUCUAUGGUUCGUAAACUUCUUUUGCAGGGGAAUAAAGUGCAGGACGUGUCCUGUUUUGUAUGUACCCUGAGAAUAAGGAUCGGCUAACUCCGUGCCAGCCGCGGC